rnacentral:tRNA from 1 species
UCCUGUGUGGCUCAGUUGGUAAAGCAUGGCUCUUGCAAUGCUAGGGGUUGUGGGUUUGAUUCCCAUAAGGGAC